UACGGAGGGUCCAAGCGUUAUCCGGAUUCAUUGGGUUUAAAGGGUGCGUAGGCGGGACACUAAGUCAGUGGUGAAAUCUCACAGCUCAACUGUGAAACUGCCAUUGAUACUGGUGACCUAGAGUAUGAUUGAAGUGAGCGGAAUAUGGCAUGUAGCGGUGAAAUGCAUAGAUAUGCCAUAGAACACCGAUAGCGAAGGCAGCUCACUAAGCCAUAACUGACGCUGAUGCACGAAAGCGUGGGUAGCGAACAGG
rnacentral:rRNA from 1 species